rnacentral:lncRNA from 1 species
AGCCCUCACUACAGCAAGACAACAAAAGUCCAACUGAGAAAUAAAGAAUCGGCUACAAAUGCUACCCCGGCGGAUGGGACAGAUGGAGUUCAAGAUGCAGUGACAGAUGACUCUACUCCAGGAAAGGAUGUCCGCGUUCAUCCUCGAUCAACAGCAGCGUCAGCCUGUAGUGGGCCCUGGAAAUGGUCAAGUAAUCUCUUGAAAUGUAUUACCUGGAACAUAAACAGUUUGCAGAAACGCAAGGUAACUCUCCCUCAGUACCUUCAUUCUGAAGAUGUUGAUGUGUGUUGCCCUCAGGAAGUUAAAGCUAUGCAAAAAUUGGGGGAUACAUAUAUUAUGACAGACCAAAUAUUGUUAAUUCCUCUACAGGAGAACUUGGCAUUUCGAUCGAAAGUGAUUGAUGACAAUCGUGAUAACACAAGUGUUGAAUAUAUUAGUAGUAAAAUAUUUCUUGAUGAUAAAUCUAAAUUAUUAAUGUAUAUAAUCCACAUUGUAAGGUGGCACCUAAACCUAAUGACUGCAUGAUAAAUAGUAAUACUGUCUUAGUAGCUCUGGGGAAAGCACCUUAGGCAAAAAUGAUAAGGUUUAUUAUGACUAUCUCCAGUGACCCCAUACAUCUAUUAUAAACCUCAAUGUAGUCAAUACACAUUAUCAAGCACUGCGAAAGUCAUUAUAUUCUUAAGGCGAGGUUCCAUUGCCUUUCUUUACGCGCGGGCCCCGACCCAUUUCCGUCCGCCCUGCCAGACGUAGUGCUUCAGCUGCGGACACAGCCUCGGUGCCAGCCCAGUCAUACCGAAGGAUUGACUUUACGGUAGCACGGAACACAAAGAUAGUUUCCUUUAUUUUGCCGUAGUAUUGUGAAUUGUGGUUUUGUGAAGAAUGAGGAAAGAAUACCAAAGUGAUCAUGAGUUAAGGCAUGGAAAGAAAGAAAAGACCAGAGUGCCAUAAUUAUCCUGGUGAAGGGACAGCCACUGGAGGACGGUCGCGGGUAUUACAAAUUUCGAACAUGGAGGUGUUUUUUUUUUUUUUUUUUUAAUUGUUACUAGUUGCAUCUUGUGAAACCUCAGCUGAGAAAGGCAAUUCCUGCAGACCAUCGAUUGGCAUUAACACUUUGAUAUCUAACAAGAGACUCUGCUGCAGGAGAAUGGCUUUGGAUCAUUAGAAAAAAAGUGUAGGCAGAAAGCUUCAUUGAUUUUAUUUUUUAUUUGCUGUAGUUAUUAAAGUUUUGUCAGUUAUUUUCAUGCUCAUUGGUAUUAUAAAGUUAUUGUUGAAUUUAUAAUUUAAUGUUUAUUGCAGGUUUUGUAGUGUAUUGUUUAUUGUCAAGUUUCUAAUAUUUAUUUUAUUAUAGUUUCUAAGGUUGCCACUAAUUUUAUAAUUUCUUAAAUUUUGUGGUAUGUAUUUUAAUUAUUGGUAGUAAUUGAUUUUUUCCUCCUAAAUUCAUACAUUUUUGUUACAGUUCUUAGUUCGAUCAUCAAUAAAUAAAACGAGAGGAAAAUAGUUUUCUUGAACUACAUACUCCUUUAAUAUGCAUUAACUUGAAUAAAGAAUAAGUGCAAAUGUU